GACGUGUUUCACAAUCGCUCCGUAAAAAGUUGUUUUCUAGUUAGUGCAAAGGACCGCAGGUGAUCAAAUAAAGUUUUGUGUCUAAUUUGGUGAAGUGUAAAGACCAAGGAAUCUCAUCGACCAGCUAUAUCAUAUUGGUGUUGCUGCUAGACGAACCUUGAAAAUUGCAUCAUAAAUUAGUUUUCUAUAACCAGCCGCCAUAUCACACACAUACAAAUAUGUUCCGUCCGGCCACAAAGUUUCAACCAUCCAUCACCUAACAAGCAUUCUCUCGGAGCAUUACACGAGUGAAAUGGCACCAACACACGGGUACCCACCACGCUCACACUACAUUCGAAAGAUUGGCAUCUCCACCACUACAAAUCUCUCGGAAGUACCUGGAAAUUACGUUGCAUAUUUUCAUACACUCAUUGGCACCGCCACGAAAUAGGCCUCAUACCCGCAUCGCAGUGCCGCAAACUUACACAACACAUCCUCAAAUCGUUCGGAGCACCGGAAGAGCCUUCAUCGAAUAAAUUGCCGUUUAACAGGCUACAAUAGCACACAGUGUACUAGCUACUGGGUCAUGAGCGAUAAUCCAUCACAAGCUAAUUGGAUCGACGAAUACACCGAAAACCGCAGAAGAAGUGACAAACUACGAAGAGUACCCUACACCAUCGUUAGACCAAUCCAUCUACAACAUAUCGAGUGAGCUCGACAAUCUUUCAGUGACUAUCACUCCAACCAUUGGUCAAGCCACAGCUCCACCAGUCAUUAGCCAAGCCACAGCUCCACCAGCCAUUAGCCUAAGUACCGUCAUACCGACCGAUACCCCAGCCACUACCAUUGAGACAAACAAAGCGCCGUUAUCAUCUACUCCAAAAACAGAAUCGAUUAAACGCCGUCUGGAAAAAUCCAACUCCGUACCGGAAGCUCCAAUCAAAAAAUUCAAAUCAAUUGCGAAUAUGUUCCCGUUAGCCGCAGCAGUAGCAGCAUCCGAAUCAUUUGUAGUGGAUAUCAUCCCCAACGUAGAUGGUGUCCUUACGUUUACGGAAUCUCAAGGCAAAAUAAUCGGUAAUAGCAUCACCCGAGCCCUAUUCUCCGAUGAGAGUAUGGCUUCUCUUCAUUUUGAAAGCUCGGGUCUAGACAGAGGCCGUUAUCGUCUCAUUUGCACCGACACGACUACUAGAGACUGGGUAGUCGCCAUCGUCCCAAAAUUGGAAGGCCUUUGGCAAGGCGCAAACAUCAGAUCUGUAGUGUCGGGCCCUCCCCCAAAGUUAAUUCGUGGAACAGUAAUUGUUCAGCUGCCUGCACCGGACCCUAACGACUUUUUCAAUAUUAUUGCCACGCAAAACCCAACACUCGAUACCAGUAACUGGAAAAUUUACAGCCGGUCCAAGGCACAAAACGGCAAACAGUAAUGGAUUAUUGGGGUGGAAGACUGCUGCAUUUCAGCCCUCAAUGAUCUAGCUUUCCGUCCAUACUGUGGUAUGACACGCGUCCGUAUAGUACUUAACAACAAUGCCAACAACCCGUGAUAAAUUAGCUUUUGUAAAGCCACAUAUUUAUUUCGUUACAACAAUCAGCUCAAUAAACGGCUUACUCUCUUUGAUCUCAAACCAAUUGUUUCAUUCUCUCUUCAAGCUCAAACAGCAGCGAGUAAGAUGUAAGAUAAGUAUUAUCAUCAGCAAA